UUGUACUCGGAGGACAUUAACGAGUUUUGAAAGGGGUUGUAGCUGGCCUUCCGAGGCAUGUGCACGCCCUGCUCAUUCCACUCUACACCUGUGCACUUACUGUGGGUCUCAGGCGAGCGUCGGUCGCUUCGCGGCGUCGUCGUUCAACUGGGCUCACGUUUUACUACAAACUAUUAAAGUAUCAGAAUGUCUACUGCGAAUUAACGCAUUUAAAUACAACUUUCAGCAACGGAUCUCUUGGCUCUCGCAUCGAUGAAGAACGCAGCGAAAUGCGAUAAGUAAUGUGAAUUGCAGAAUUCAGUGAAUCAUCGAAUCUUUGAACGCACCUUGCGCUCCUUGGUAUUCCGAGGAGCAUGCCUGUUUGAGUGUCAUGAAAUUCUCAACCUAACGAGUCUUUGCGGGCUCGGUAGGCUUGGACUUGGAGGUUCUUGUCGGCCUAACGGUCGGCUCCUCUUAAAUGCAUUAGCUCGGUUCCUUGCGGAUCGGCUCACGGUGUGAUAAUUGUCUACGCCGCGACCGUUGAAGCGUUUUGGCCGGCUUCUAAUCGUCUCGUUGGAGACACUACUCUUUAUGACCUUCUGACCUCAAAUCAGGUAGGACUACCCGCUGAACUUAAGCAUAUCUAAAAGGGGAAAGAAA
rnacentral:rRNA from 1 species